rnacentral:rRNA from 1 species
GGGGGGGGGGGGGGGCGGGCCGGGCACGUGCGGGGCGGGCGGGUGAAGGGAGCGUGCUCCUGGAUUCAGCGGCGGCCGGGUGAGUAAUGCCUCGGAAUCUGCCUGGUAGUGGGGGAUAACGUCCGGCAACGGGCGCUCAUACCGCCUACGUCCUGGGGGAGCGAGUGGGGGAUCUUCGGACCUCACGCUAUCAGAUGAGCCUAGGUCGGAUUAGCUAGUUGGUGGGGUAAAGGCCUACCAAGGCGACGAUCCUUCACUGGUCUGAGAGGAUGAUCAGUCACACUGGAACUGAGACACGGUCCAGACUCCUACGGGAGGCAGCAGUGGGGAAUAUUGGACAAUGGGCGAAAGCCUGAUCCAGCCAUGCCGCGUGUGUGAAGAAGGUCUUCGGAUUGUAAAGCACUUUAAGUUGGGAGGAAGGGCAGUAAGUUAAUACCUUGCUGUUUUGACGUUACCAACAGAAUAAGCACCGGCUAACUUCGUG